ensembl:snoRNA
AGAGCCAUUGAUGGCAACUGGUGGCACGUGCAUAUGGAUGGUAAAUAAUAUGUGCCUGGAGUACUAAGGUCCAA